UUAAAAGAUAGUAAAAAAUUUUAAGAAAAGAUAAUAUAUGGUUCCGGAAGAGCCAAUAUCAUCUUACCAGGAGGUACAAAACUGAAAAUUUCAAGACGUUUCUUUUCUUCUCAGGGAAAUCGAUCUCUUAUAAACCUCGCGUCAGAGAAGCGAAGUGAAAAGAACCAUCCAACUGGAUUUGCUCCAUUUUCCGUCUCCCUCUAUCCAGAAAUUUUAGGGAUGAUUGAAAGUUAGGGUUCUCCUUUUCACCUUACUUUUUAUUUUUGAUGUGAUUUUGAAUCCCCGGGUAGACACGGAAUUCCUUCAUCGUCAUUCUGUACAAUCCCAGGUAUUAGUCUGUGUUAUUUUGUUACAUUUUUGAAUUAACAUUUUUUGUGAUACUGUGCACAUUUUGCAGUUAAAAAAAUGUUUUUUUAUUUAUGUUAUUUCUGUUUAUUACCCUUUUUCUUUUCUUCAUUUUUAAGGGGUUCCCUUCAAUUUUACAUCUCAGUAUAAUUUGCUGAUAUAGUCAUUUAAGUGAUUAAUUGGAAGUGAAAUUUUAAGGAAAUCAAGUAAUAUUGCUGUGGUUCAUCAGUAGAAUUGGUUUUAUUGAUCCAUGUUUGAUAGUUCUGAACUACCGAUUAACUUAAGCAGUUUUCCAAGCCCGUGAUUCUACCGAGCUUCAAUUUUUGAUGAACUCCCAUUUUAGUGAUAAAUUGUAUGGUUAAAUGCACCAAAGGCAAUGAACUGAGAUAAGUGGACCUCUUCUCCUAAAGGGACAUAAGUGGUUUAGAUUGGAUUAUUUCUUGGAGGGAUUAUCGAGAGUGAUGUGGUACAUGCUGUCACUCUGAGCUCAAUCAAGGGCAUGCUUAUCCAAGAUAUGUGAACAAUUGAAAACAAUCAUAGCUCCUUUUAUUUAUGCAGUUUAUGUUGUAAGGAUUAUAAUGCUUUGUGCACUGAAUUCUUUUUUCAUUUUAGGGUUGCAGCUUUGUUAAAGAUGCUGUGACUUGAGAAGAUUUAUCCAAAAUUUUACUUCUAUGUUUUUGGUCAUACAAGCAAGUAGGGUGAUGGCUAAGUUGGAAAUUUAUACGAAAUUCACAGACGUUGUGGUUGUUGUUGUUGCUUUCCCGCUGGGGGUAUCUUUUUUGAGGUAAUCUUGAUUCCUUCUUUUAAACUCUUUCAUUGUGUUUUCUUAUCAUGAUCCUUAUCUUUGUAUUAAGAACUGGGAUUUAGUAAAUAAACUUGAGCAUAUCUUAUGCUGCUCCGCUUUAAGGAAAAUAACGUGUACAAUGAGCAGUGGUAGACUGUAUGGAUUAUAUAUCCCUACCUUCUGGCAGGUCUUACCGUUCUCCGUUUUGUGUGUCAUAUGUGCACUUUGGGCACCAUCUCAGAAUUCAACAGGCCCUAUAGCUCGGCACAGAAUUACAGUGGUGGGAUUGGUGAACUGGAUUUCAGCCAUUCACAGCCAUAUAGUUUCAACCCUGCCGUAAAAUGGAUGUUGAAUGGACUCGACAGUCAAGCUGAUAUUUAAGAGGUGUUAGUUUCAAUUUUUUCGAAAUGCAGAAAAAUUUCAAUAGUAAUUCACAAGUAAGCUACUAAGAUCUAUUAUCAGUUUAGAGGCAUAACUAAGAUCUAUUUCAUUUGAAGUCGCUUGAUAGAUUAAGUAGUCAAAUAGAUGGGUGCAAAAAAAAAAAAAUUGUACAAUAGCAUUGGAUAGCAUAGGGUGAGACUGUUUAGUAUCGUGGACCCUUCAUCAAUUGCCAUAAAUUAGUUAGGCUGUUUUGUGCUUUGUGUGCCCCCACAUGGGACAACAUAGGUUCUUAACACUUUUUGAUAUUAGUAAAGUAUAUGCAUUAUUUUUGUGUAGGUUUGUUACAUCAAAAGCCGUCUAAUGGAAGGUUUUGCACAGUUGCAACAAUCCAUUGCUUUAAGUUACAGUAUUAUGAUUUUAUGUGGAAGCCCUUUAGCUUUUUUGGUAUUAGUUGAGUUAACUGAACUGCUUUCUACUUUCCACCAGUAUUUGGACUGAAUUAAGUGAGAGUAUGCGACGACUGUUUUAGUUAGUAUUGAAAAAAAUCAUACCAAACUAGAUAAUCUUAAUCACCUUAAUCUUCGUGAGAGUAUGGAACUACUGUUUCAAAAUGGAACACCGAGAUUAAGCCUCUUGCUAACAUAUCUAACUGGUCAGUUAUGUUUAUCUUUUUGUACUUUAAGGGUAUAUAUUAGCUUGAGACUAAAUUUUUUGUGACCCUGUUUUAAUCAGAUGAUGUUGGUGUUGUGUAAAUUUUUUGUAUGCUUUGAACACAAAAGCUCCCUAGGCACAAGGGAUCUUACUUUGCAGCACAUUUGGUGGGUUAUAAUUCCUGUGGUUGUAGUGUGAACAUCACCCUGUGUGGGGAUAAAUCAAUCAAUGAGCGAAGUCGUCACAUACACCAUCUUGGAAUUGAGCAACCACCUGUCAUGGACGUUCUUACUGGACUAUGCUAAAAAGGACCAAGGAUGCUCCAUCGGUACCCCCACCAAUACGAUCAAAAUAUAUUUCAAACAUGACACUCCUGAAGUAACUGAUGUAAGAGAUGGUGUAAUUUUCAGGGAGAAGUUAAACUUUCAGAUGGAAGAGAGCUAUUUGUAGAAACCAUCAUAUUAAAUGUAGUGUCAACCCUUAAAGCACCGUCCUUUUGUUCCAUUCACAUGGUGAUUAAAGUAGACAUGUUGCCGCCAGUCCCAGAUUGCCAGCAUUCGUUCUUGAGGAUGAUAAUGGAGCUGAAGAUUUUCGGUAAACUCGCCAUUUGUGCAGAGAAGAUUUUUUUUGGGGGAAAGUGACUGUUGUUGGUGGAGUAGACAUGUUGAACAGUGGCUGGAUUUAACUAGUGCACUUACAAAUUGUCAAGACUUGCAAUUUCUGUCCCAUUGUAUGGAAUGGGUAUUCUUUAAUUGUAAUUUUGUUAUCAAAAAUUCUUGGUGAACCGUCGAAACGGACACCAUGAAAACCGCCCCCUCACAAUCCCUUAUGUGCUGGCCUCACUAAACUGAAACCCCUGCAAAUUCCCCAGCUUAAGGCCCACCCUCAUGUGUCUGCAUGGUUUUGCCGUGGCUUGUCAUACUGUUCAAAUAAAACAUAGGUGUUCGUACGAGUAUACCACUUAUGAAAAGCUGUAUUUUUUUGAGUGUGUUUAUUGAAUAAUUGGGUAUUACGUACCCUUAUGUAAUAGCCCUUCAAUUUUUAAUAUAUUUCAUGCUUCAAAAA